GACCAAUUUUUCCCCAAGUUUUGAUCAACUUUUUAAUUGGUUGUCACACAAUUUAUAUUAGUAACAAAGUCAAAUCAAAGAAUUCUUGUUUGGGGGUUUACACCUAUUGGUUGAAGUGUUCAGCAUUUCCUUACAUCAUUCAUUGACCCUUCUUGGGAUAGCAUGGUCCUAUUUCUACAUGUUCUACCUGAGAGGACAAGAUUAUUCAUUUCCACAGUCAACCUCAAUCCUUACAUGUACUUGAAAUUAUUUUACAAUGGUGUUUAGAGGGAGGUUAAAUGAGUCUUUAGUUAAUUAAAUAAAACAUUUAAUUCCUCACCAGCAGACGUGUAUAGCUGGUUUUUUUGUUGUUUGUUUGUUUUACUUUUUCUUCUUUUUCUUUUUUUCUUGUUUUUUUUUUCUCAUGCAAACACCUUUUCAUUUCCUUCUAUUAAAUAUUGUUCUUCCUCCUUUUGUCCUUUCUUCAAGGGAAUACGUUGUAUCCAGUGUUAGGUCUCAGCUGUUUUGUUUAUUUGCUUCUUGUGGAGGAGAUGGAAGACAUGAAUUUUCCUGCAGUUUUUAGCUUCAGAUACUUACUGAAAAUUAAUAUGAAAAGUAUCAUCUUUCUUCUAAACAGAACGGAACACUGUGCUAUUUACAAGGGUUUGGUGUGUAUUUUGCGAGUGCUUGUGUUUUCGAAAAUAUUUCUACGUGUU